UUAACGCUGGCAGUGUGUAUAAUACAUGCAAGUCGACUGCAUUUAGUUGCAGGGCAGACGGGUGAGUAACACGUUGGAAUCUGCCCCGAACUCAGGGAUAACCAGCCGAAAGGCUGGAUAAUACCGGAUGUGCCGUAUACCGUAUGGUAUACGGUAAAGAUUUAUCGGUUCGGGAGGAGCCUGCGUAGUAUCAGCUUGUUGGUGAGGUAAUGGCUCACCAAGGCUAUGACGCUUAGCUGGUCUGAGAGGAUGAUCAGUCACAAUGGAACUGAGACACGGUCCAUACUCCUACGGGAGGCAGCAGUAAAGAAUCUUCCGCAAUGGGCGAAAGCCUGACGGAGCAACACUGCGUGGAGGAUGACGGCCCUCGGGUUGUAAACUCCUUUUCUAGGGGAAGAAGUUCUGACGGUACCCUAGGAAUAAGCGACGGCUAAUUAC
rnacentral:rRNA from 1 species